GAAUAUUGCACAAUGGGCGAAAGCCUGAUGCAGCAACGCCGCGUGCGCGAUGAAGGCCUUCGGGUCGUAAAGCGCUUUUCGGGGGGAUGAGGAAGGACAGUACCCUCGGAAUAAGUCACGGCUAACUACGUUCCAGCCGCCGCGGUAAGACGUAGGUGGCGAGCGUUAUCCGGAUUUACUGGGCGUAAAGCGCGUGCAGGCGGUUUAGUAAGGCGGGCGUGAAAUCUCCUGGCUCAACUGGGAGGGGUCGUCCGAAACUACUAGACUUGAGGGCAGUAGAGGGAGGUGGAAUUCCGGGUGUAGUGGUGAAAUGCGUAGAUAUCCGGAGGAACACCGGUGGCGAAAGCGGCCUCCUGGGCUGCCCCUGACGCUCAGACGCGAAAGCUAGGGGAGCGAACGG
rnacentral:rRNA from 1 species